UACUUGGUUGAUCCUGCCAAGGAAGCACACUUAGGUCAUAGAUUAAGCCAUGCAAGUGUUAGUUCAGGUAACGAAACUGCGAAUAGCUCAUUAAUACGCUCAGAAUCUAUUUGGCGGCGACCAACAGGUCUUAAAUGGAUAGCAGCAGCAACUCUGGUGCUAAUACAUGCGAUUGUUUCUCCAGAUGUGAAUUAUGGAGGAAAAGUUGACCUCAUCAGAGGCACGCCAUUCGACUGAGUGACCUAUCAGCUUGUACUUAGGGUCUUUACCUAGGUAGGCUAUCACGGGUAACGGGCGGUUACCGUCGGACUGCCGGAGAAGGCGCCUGAGAGAUAGCGACUAUAUCCACGGGUAGCAGCAGGCGCGAAACUUUCCCACUCGAGACUUUCGGAGGAGGUAAUGACCAGUUCCAUUGGUGCCUUUUGGUACUGUGGAUAGGGGUACGGUUUUCCACCGUACCGAAACCUAGCAGAGGGCCAGUCUGGUGCCAGCAGCUGCGGUAAUUCCAGCUCUGCGAGUUUGCUCCCAUAUUGUUGCAGUUAAAACGCCCGUAGUCUGAAUUGGCCAGCAAUGGUCGUACGUAUUUUUACGUUCACUGUGAACAAAUCAGGACGCUUAGAGUAUGGCCACAUGAAUGACUCAGCGCAGUAUGAAGUCUUUGUUUUCUUCCGAAAACAAGCUCAAUGAGAGCCAUCGGGGGUAGAUCUAUCUCAUGACGAGUGGUGGAAUACUUUGACUCAUGAGAGAGAAGCUGAGGCGAAGGCGUCUACCUAGAGGGUUUCUGUCGAUCAAGGGCGAGAGUAGGAGUAUCCAACAGGAUUAGAGACCCUGGUAGUUCCUACCCUUAAACGAUGCCGACCAGG
rfam:Trichomonas vaginalis G3, whole genome shotgun sequence.